GUUUUGGGGGGGUUUGCCGAGUGUCGAAGCGUCUAAGACUAAGAUUUUCUCCGUCUUCUCGUUUGUUUCAGGCACCGAGCGUCACGAGCUCACGUCCUGGAGAAGUUUCCACUCCAUCUUCAAGUUCUUUGCGGACGCACUGGAGGCCCAGGAGAACUCGGACCAGCAGCCCUCCACCACCGUCACCACCCGCAGUGCCAAUAGAAUCAAACACGACGAGAUUUAACACCAAUGCCAAAGCCUAAAGACUUCUAGUCCCAGCCAGACAAAUGUCUAUCCUAUGCCCUGCUGUGUCACCCUCUCACUCACUCCUUCUCUCCCUCCUCUCCUAUACAUCUCUCUCUCUCUCUCUCUCUCUCAAUGUAUGUAUGGGGGUGGGGGUGGGUGUGUGCAUUUCUCACUUUUUACAGUGAAAAUGAUCCUCUCCUUCAGGCCUCAAAACAUAGUAUCAGAUUGUUGAAUCCAGGGUGUAUACAUCAAACUAACGUUUUGUAUUACUUCUAGAUGAGUGCAACUGUCAAAGCAAUAUGGCUUCAGUGCGUGCGCCUCCCGUGGGCUCUAGUCUGGAUGUGGUGGCGGCUAUCGCUGCCGAGAUUAAGCAUGACAGGCGCUCCCGCGCAGUGCCUCGCGCAGUGCCUCGCGGUGCACCUCUAAUUGUCCUGACAUGGGCCUGAACUGAGCUAAUGCUGGGGAUGCACAUCUCCCCAGGGUCCUAAUGCUAGCCUUUUUAAACUCCGGCUCCUCCCGUUAGACAUUCACCGAUUCUUUCUCCGUCCGGAGCCCUUUUCACCUCUCAUCGGCGAGAACACUUGCUCACUGUCAACACUUGCUCACUGUCAUAUUAUGUGUCGAACUGCUGCUUUUGGCGGGGUUAGAUUUCGUGUUGAAGUUUCUAGCGAUUUUAUAAAGAAUGGUCGAAAAAUGACAGACAGACAUGGACCAUCCCACUUUGGUAAAUCCUGUCGAGUUUUAAAUCACUUAAGCCAGCCGUCAGGAUGAGAUGAAGGAAUGUUGAGUUUUAAGAGAUAGUAAAGAGUCCAUUCAAUAGUCGGGCGAUUUCCGGAGAUCCCUGCCAUGCGUCGGGACAAGAGCAGUUCUAAUAAUAUUAUCUUAAGUAUAAAUGAGGAGUCUUAAGAUGUUUGCACAUUGUACUUUCAGUUUUCGAAGGAUCACGCUGCUCGUACCCACAUUCAGACAUAGCUUUGACAGUCUCGUGUCUCGCUCAAACUCACAAAAUGUCACUUUUUUUGGCACAAACAAGACGCAUUGUUUCUGGGACAACGUCAUCUCUCCAGAGCUUGAAGGCAUGCCUGUCCAAUCUGUCCUCCCAUCAAUCAGAUUUUAAAGUUGUAUAAAUCUCAUAUGGUUUCCUCCCUUAAAAAUGAACCGUUCCUAUUUUUCUGACCUUCUAGCUUUAUAUUCAACCAGGUAAAUGUAAUGCCGCCUUCACAACGUUAUUGUUCCAAUCAUUGAAUAAUGCUGCUAUAUUAGCAUGUUUAAUAGUCUAAACAAUACACCACAUCAGUACACACUCUUUAGGUACACGCAAAGGAACGGUAAUGGUUCUUUUUUUUUAAAUCGGAUGCGCAUUUUGGGCUCAAUUAUGAGUUUGUGUGUUUUUUUUAAAUGCAGCCAUUUGAAACAUGCAUUCCAUUUAGUUAAAGGUAGCCUAGGUUUUGUUGCAGGCCUAGUUCAGUGCGGGGGAAAAGGCUAACCCAUUUAUUAUUUCAAUAUGUUGCCUUAGGAAUAAAUCAGACACACCAAGGACACACCGAGGAAAGGCUAUAGUAUAACAAGCCAUACGCACGCAUAUCCUUCAGGCCCGAUGGAGGCAGCCUUAAAGCAAAUCAAAAGCUCAUUUGAUAUGUAAAUUGCGACUAAUUUUAACAUUUUCUCUUUCAAAUAUUUUUAAUCAAAUCGUAUGUACUUUUUUUUGAAGCAUUAACUCCCAUUUACAAUUAGGAUCAUCAAGUAGAAGCAUCCUUCUGGGUGGCCAAUUGUAAUAUCUUUGAUGUUAAAUUGCCGAUGUCCUUUUUUUUUUAGGUAUGUUGACAAACUUCACAUUGAGAUUUUACAAAUUAGAAGUACACAGAUGUUGUCUUUUAUUUUUGUUUUAUUUCGUCUUCUGUGAUCACCCUACAAGUAUAUUUCUAAAUGUAUUUUCAGUAUACAUUCAUUGUAAUUAGUAUUAAUGAAUAAAAUAUUUUUAAUGUGAAUGUGCUGUGUAUGUGUUGUGAUGUGUAGGCCUAUGCUGCUGUUGCUAGAUCAAUGUCUUUUACUCCAGUUAAAAGUUUCAACUGGUAUUAUUUUACCGAGACAACAGAGGUAUUUCCACGGAAGCUCAAAAAAGUUAUCUAGUCUGCCUUCUGGGAUGUUCUUGAAUGGAGAGCAACGACGUGUUCAGUCCAUGGCUUCUUUCAAGGUGACUCG
ensembl:lncRNA